rnacentral:rRNA from 1 species
UCGAGAAUUUUUCUCAAUGGGGGAAACCCUGAAGGAGCGACGCCGCGUGGAGGAUGAAGGUCUUCGGGUUGUAAACUCCUGUCAUUUGGGAACAAGUCGCUUACGUUAACUGCGUGAGCGUUGAUAGUACCAGAAGAGGAAGAGACGGCUAACUCUGUGCCAGCAGCCGCGGUAAUACAGAGGUCUCAAGCGUUGUUCGGAUUCAUUGGGCGUAAAGGGUGCGUAGGUGGCGUCGUAAGUCAGGUGUGAAAUCUCGGAGCUUAACUCCGAAACUGCAUUUGAUACUGCGGUGCUUGAGGACUGGAGAGGAGACUGGAAUUUACGGUGUAGCAGUGAAAUGCGUAGAGAUCGUAAGGAAGACCAGUGGCGAAGGCGGGUCUCUGGACAGUUCCUGACACUGAGGCACGAAGGCCAGGGGAGCAAACGG